AGUGAACGUUGGCGGCGUGGAUUAGGCAUGCAAGUCGAGCGAGAACCGUAGCAAUACGGGGACAGCGGCGAAAGGGACAGUAAUGUGUAGGUACCUACCUCCGGGUUCGGGAUAGCUGAGGGAAACUGCAGGUAAUACCGAAUAACGUCUCCGGACCAAAGGUGUGAUUCCACCUGGAGAGGGGCUUGCAUCCUAUUAGCUUGUUGGCGGGGUAACGGCCCACCAAGGCGACGAUGGGUGGCGGGUGUGAGAGCACGACCCGCGUCAUUGGGACUGAGACACUGCCCAGACACCUACGGGUGGCUGCAGUCGUGAAUCUUCGGCAAUGGGCGCAAGCCUGACCGAGCGACGCCGCGUGCGGGAUGAAGGCCUUCGGGUUGUAAACCGCUGUCGUAGAGGAGGAAAUGCAGGGGGGUUCUCCCCUCUGUUUGACCUAUUCUAGGAGGAAGUACGGGCUAAGUUCGUGCCAGCAGCCGCCGUAA
rnacentral:rRNA from 1 species